AAAUUUUUUUUUUCUGCUCAGAUUGAACGCUGGCGGCAGGCCUAACACAUGCAAGUCGAGCGGUAGCACAGAGAGCUUGCUCUCGGGUGACGAGCGGCGGACGGGUGAGUAAUGUCUGGGAAACUGCCUGAUGGAGGGGGAUAACUACUGGAAACGGUAGCUAAUACCGCAUAAUGUCGCAAGACCAAAGUGGGGGACCUUCGGGCCUCAUGCCAUCAGAUGUGCCCAGAUGGGAUUAGCUAGUAGGUGGGGUAACGGCUCACCUAGGCGACGAUCCCUAGCUGGUCUGAGAGGAUGACCAGCCACACUGGAACUGAGACACGGUCCAGACUCCUACGGGAGGCAGCAGUGGGGAAUAUUGCACAAUGGGCGCAAGCCUGAUGCAGCCAUGCCGCGUGUGUGAAGAAGGCCUUCGGGUUGUAAAGCACUUUCAGCGGGGAGGAAGGCGAUAAGGUUAAUAACCUUGUCGAUUGACGUUACCCGCAGAAGAAGCACCGGCUAACUCCGUGCCAGCAGCCGCGGUAAUACGGAGGGUGCAAGCGUUAAUCGGAAUUACUGGGCGUAAAGCGCACGCAGGCGGUCUGUCAAGUCGGAUGUGAAAUCCCCGGGCUCAACCUGGGAACUGCAUUCGAAACUGGCAGGCUAGAGUCUUGUAGAGGGGGGUAGAAUUCCAGGUGUAGCGGUGAAAUGCGUAGAGAUCUGGAGGAAUACCGGUGGCGAAGGCGGCCCCCUGGACAAAGACUGACGCUCAGGUGCGAAAGCGUGGGGAGCAAACAGGAUUAGAUACCCUGGUAGUCCACGCCGUAAACGAUGUCGAUUUGGAGGUUGUGCCCUUGAGGCGUGGCUUCCGGAGCUAACGCGUUAAAUCGACCGCCUGGGGAGUACGGCCGCAAGGUUAAAACUCAAAUGAAUUGACGGGGGCCCGCACAAGCGGUGGAGCAUGUGGUUUAAUUCGAUGCAACGCGAAGAACCUUACCUGGUCUUGACAUCCACAGAACUUACCAGAGAUGCUUUGGUGCCUUCGGGAACUGUGAGACAGGUGCUGCAUGGCUGUCGUCAGCUCGUGUUGUGAAAUGUUGGGUUAAGUCCCGCAACGAGCGCAACCCUUAUCCUUUGUUGCCAGCGGUUAGGCCGGGAACUCAAAGGAGACUGCCAGUGAUAAACUGGAGGAAGGUGGGGAUGACGUCAAGUCAUCAUGGCCCUUACGACCAGGGCUACACACGUGCUACAAUGGCAUAUACAAAGAGAAGCGACCUCGCGAGAGCAAGCGGACCUCAUAAAGUAUGUCGUAGUCCGGAUUGGAGUCUGCAACUCGACUCCAUGAAGUCGGAAUCGCUAGUAAUCGUAGAUCAGAAUGCUACGGUGAAUACGUUCCCGGGCCUUGUACACACCGCCCGUCACACCAUGGGAGUGGGUUGCAAAAGAAGUAGGUAGCUUAACCUUCGGGAGGGCGCUUACCACUUUGUGAUUCAUGACUGGGGUGAAGUCUAAAAGGGGGAACCA
rnacentral:rRNA from 1 species